UGAGGAAUAUUGCACAAUGGGCGCAAGCCUGAUGCAGCAACGCCGCGUGCGGGACGAAGGCCUUCGGGUCGUAAACCGCCUUUCUGGGGAAAGAGCAAGGACGGUACCUCAGGAAUAAGUCUCGGCUAACUACGUGCCAGCAGCCGCGGUAAAACGUAGGAGGCGAGCGUUAUCCGGAUUUACUGGGCGUAAAGCGCACGCAGGCGGCUCUGUGAGUCGGACGUGAAAGCUCCCGGCUUAACCGGGAGAGGCCGUUCGAUACUGCGGGGCGUGAAGUAGGGAGAGGAAUGCGGAAUUCCCGGUGUAGUGGUGGAAUGCGUAGAUAUCGGGAGGAACACCAGUGGCGAAAGCGGCAUUCUGGCGCUCACCUGACGCUGAGGUGCGAAAGCGUGGGUAGCAAACAG
rnacentral:rRNA from 1 species